AGGAUGUUAAUUAGAUAACUAAAAUUCGUUCACACAACAGAUAGAUCAACUUGAUCUAAUGACCCAUAUCACAGAUAGGAGAUCAGUCGGCCCAUGAUGGGGGUAUAUAUAUUUCAAAAACCUAAUUUUUCUUCCCUAAUGUGUGAUUCAAAUGGAAAAGAGGCGAGGGCUUGGCUAUUGUGAGAGGAAGGGAGAGGGUGUCGUGAAUUAUCGAGGGCUAAGAAGGGGAAGUGAGUGAGGUAGGAACCCAAAAAUAAGGAAUGAUUACAGAAAAAAAUCAAUC
rnacentral:lncRNA from 1 species